rfam:Lupinus angustifolius cultivar Tanjil chromosome LG15, whole genome shotgun sequence.
AGGUGCGAUCAUACAUUCACUAAUGCACUGGAUCCUAUCGUAACUCUGCAGUCAAGCGUUCUUGGGCGAGAGUAGUACUAGGAUAGGUGACCUCUUGGGAAGUCCUCGUGUUGCACCUC